rnacentral:rRNA from 1 species
AUGAUCUGGCAUGUACAGAAUGAAAACUUCAUUCUCGAUUCUAUGAGAAUUUCUAUGAAGGCAUUUCAUUUUCUCCUCUUCAAUGGAACUUUCACUUUCCCUGAAUGUAUCCUAAUUUUUUGCCUAUUGGUUCUCGCUGAAGUAUCUAAAUGGUUCUAUUGGGGUUCUCUUCGAGAUAUCCAAAUAUUAUUUUGA